GAGACUGACGGACCGAUGACGUCGUUUAACAAUUUCAGCACCAUGGACAGAUCAACACUGCCAUCCACGCAAAGCCCACCAAACAUAAUCAGCAUGGGCAUAGCAUAAUUAAUCUAUGAUGUAGCAAAGUAUCAAUAUAGCCUAUUUAUAAAUACAAUGUUUACAUAGAAUGUAUUUCUAUUUCUUACAGAAUAUCGGUAAGAGAGAGCACACAAAGCCUAGGGCGAAAUUCUGUUGAGGUAGAUCGCCGCUGAGUGGUGCAUGCGCGUCAGUGCAAGGAUCCCCUAGCGUAUUCUGAGAAGAGAUCAUCCCUCGGUGCUGCGUGGUAGAGAGUUGAGUAUAGCUGUAGAGGAGAGUGAGGAGAGGAGAAGCGUUCUGUGUAGAGGGGACACCGGGGAAGCGUAAUCAAUGAGGGUGCAAGCAACAUUUAUAUAGAAGGCGGAUUCCAAACGUUGAAACACCCUCAUAACGGAAGGGUGAUAAAGGGGGGACAAGCGCUCGGUUCCGAGGGAGAACGCUUUCCCUCAUUUGUUUCUACUAAAAAGGAGGGACCGAUUCCCUUGCAAUCAUGGGGAACCGGGGGAUGGAAGACCUUAUUCCUCUUGUGAAUAAAAUGCAAGAUGCCUUCUCGGCCAUCGGUCAAAAUUCCCAGUUGGAUCUGCCUCAAAUCGCUGUGGUCGGUGGGCAGAGUGCAGGGAAAAGCUCGGUGUUGGAGAACUUCGUUGGGAAAGAUUUUCUUCCCCGUGGCUCUGGCAUCGUCACCCGCCGUCCCUUGGUCCUCCAGCUGAUCAACUGUCCCACAGAAUAUGCUGAGUUCCUUCACUGUAAGGGGAAGAAGUUCACAGACUUCGAUGAGGUUCGUGGGGAGAUCGAGGCGGAGACGGAUCGCAUCACUGGGCAGAAUAAGGGAAUCUCACCUGUGCCAAUAAAUCUCAGGGUCUACUCCCCACAUGUCCUGAAUCUGACUCUGGUGGACUUGCCAGGGAUGACCAAGGUCCCAGUAGGGGACCAGCCUGCGGACAUUGAGCAGCAGAUCAGAGACAUGUUGUAUCAGUUUGUGACCAAGGACAACUGUCUGCUGCUGGCUGUCUCCCCAGCCAACUCUGAUCUGGCCAACUCGGAUGCCCUGAAGAUUGCCAAAGAAGUCGACCCACAGGGUCAGCGAACCAUUGGUGUGAUCACCAAGCUGGAUCUGAUGGAUGAGGGGACUGAUGCCAGAGAAAUUCUGGAGAAUAAGCUGCUCCCACUGCGUAGAGGUUACAUUGGUGUGGUGAACAGGAGUCAGAAGGACAUUGAUGGGAAGAAGGACAUCACAGCGGCCAUGGCUGCAGAGAGGAAGUUCUUCCUGACCCAUCCUGGAUACAGACACCUGGCUGAACGGAUGGGCACUCCCUACCUACAGAAAACACUCAACCAGCAACUGACCAAUCACAUCCGGGACACUCUGCCGGGGCUGCGGGCCAAGCUGCAGAGCCAGCUGCUGUCUAUAGAGAAGGAGGUGGAGGAGUACAAGAACUUCAGACCUGACGACCCCUCCCGCAAGACCAAGGCCCUACUGCAGAUGGUGCAGCAGUUCUCAGUAGACUUUGAGAAGCGUAUCGAGGGCUCUGGGGACCAGAUCGACACAGCAGAGCUGUCAGGAGGAGCCAAGAUCAACCGCAUCUUCCACGAGCGCUUCCCCUUUGAGCUGGUCAAGAUGGAGUUUAACGAAAAGGAGCUUCGCAAGGAGAUCAGCUACGCCAUUAAGAACAUCCACGGCAUUAGAACUGGCCUCUUCACCCCGGACAUGGCCUUUGAGACCAUUGUGAAAAGGCAGAUCGGCAAGAUCAAAGAGCCCUGCCAGAAAUGUGUGGACAUGGUCAUUUCUGAGCUAGUCAAUACCGUUAGGCAGUGUACUCAGAAGCUGGCUCAGUACCCCAUGCUGAGGGAGGAGAUGGACAAGAUUGUCACCCAGCACAUCCGAGAUCGCGAGAGUCGCACCAAGGACCAGGUGAUGCUGCUGAUUGACAUUGAGCUGGCCUACAUGAACACCAACCAUGAGGACUUCAUUGGCUUUGCCAAUGCUCAGCAGAGGAGCAGCCAGGUGGCCCAGAAGAAGCAACCUGGCAACAAGCAGGAUGAAAUCAUGCCGGAGAGAGGAGCGGUUAAUGAUCGGUUUAAGGUGAUCAGGAAGGGCUGGCUGACCAUCAACAACAUUGGCAUCAUGAAGGGAGGAGCCAAGGAGUACUGGUUUGUCCUGACUGCAGAGUCCCUGUCCUGGUACAAGGAUGAUGAGGAGAAAGAGAAGAAGUACAUGCUCCAAGUGGACAACCUGAGGCUGAGGGAUGUGGAGAAGAGCUUCAUGUCCAGCAAGCAGAUCUUCGCCCUGUUCAACACUGAGCAAAGGAAUGUGUAUAAGGACUACCGUCAGCUAGAGUUGGCCUGCGAGACUCAGGACGACAUAGAUGGGUGGAAGGCCUCCUUCCUCAGAGCCGGGGUGUAUCCUGAACGUGUCACGGAAAAGGAGGGCAAGCAGAGUGAAAGUGGAGACGGAGAGAAUGGCUCAGAUAACUUCAUGCACUCCAUGGACCCCCAGCUGGAGAGACAGGUGGAGACCAUCCGCAACCUGGUGGAUUCCUACAUGGCCAUCGUCAACAAGACCGUCAGGGACCUCAUGCCCAAGACCAUCAUGUACCUCAUGAUCAACAACACCAAGGAGUUCAUCAACGCGGAGCUGCUGGCCAACCUGUACCACUCUGGGGACCAGAACAGCCUGAUGGAGGAGUCCCAGGAGCAGGCCCAUCACCGCGACGAGAUGCUCCGCAUGUACCACGCCCUGAGGGAGGCCCUAAACAUCAUCGGAGACAUCAGCACUACCACUGUCACCACCGCCAUGCCGCCGCCUGUAGACGACUCCUGGCUGAGGCCGGGGGGAAACAACUCCGGGGGCAGGUCCCCGGCCAGCAGUCCCACUCCAAACAGAAGGGCUCCCCCAGGUCCCCCUGGUCGCCCUGUCUCCCGUGGCUCAGCCCCUGGCCUCCCUCCUGGCCCCCCUGUCCCCUCUCGCCCAGGGGCCUCCCCGGACCCUUUCGGUGGGCCCCCCCCAUCAGUCCCCUCCCGGCCUAACCGCGCACCCCCCGGUGUGCCCAGGGGGAUGUGAAGACGCCAGGAGGAUUGCUGGAGAAUCACUAUCAGUGACCAAUGAGGACUAAAGCUUCUGCCGAAGACCCCCGCCCUCACCAACCCACUAGACUACUGAGCCCCCCUCCCCCCCGACUCACCACCUACCCCACGGCAGAGAGACCAAGGACUGCAGAGCAACCUUCCUUACCUAGACCUGACCCUUCUUUCUCCUCUCCCUUCUCUACUAAAUGACACAGUCACGUCACACACACGCACAAACCCACAGACAGACAGACACAUUGUAUACCCCCAAUACAGAGAAAUGCAUUCACCCUCCACUGUAUAUUAAGGAACAUUGUAGAUAAGAAUUCAAAUACAUUUGCACACAUUUACAUGUGUAAGUAGUCACACACUUAAACGGACAGGGCAGUGUAUGCGUGGGUGGAUUCAGCAAAUAUGGACGAGAGGGUUAAGGAAUGCUAUGCUAAAAUAUUUUUUCUUUCUCACCCUUCCCUUCAGAUGGGUAUUUCUGGUUGCUGACUUUCUUUCUUCCUCUCAUAUCUGAAUUUUAAUUUUUUUCUCUGAUAAUUUGGGAUAUUGACAAUGAUCUUUUUUGUUCUGGUUGACAUGUUAUUCUGUGUGUUUGAAUCUCUCUCGGGAGUAGAUGCAUUAUCCAUCUAUCUAGGAAAGUGGAGUGGAUCAGAAGGGAUAACUGCAUCUGAACAAUAGCUUUCUUUUUGUUGUCUUCUGCUAUGAUCAUCAUGAUCCAUACUGGUCCCUAAAGUCACAGGCUCGGACAAACCUGACAUAGAUGGGCAAGGGCCCUUUUAGUCGGAGAAACACCCAAAGAGAAAAUAUAUACAUUAAUGGUACUGACUCUCGUGUCACAAUGUGGAAUCUAUCUCUGUGAUUUCUAUGUAUUAUUUAUGAUACACUGAUUCAUGUGUCCUAUUAUAUCUAACAUCACGACAGUGUUUCCUCGCCUCUGAGUUUGGGGACAUUUUCUCUCGUUAUGUUUCAUUCACUUGUUCAUCCUUCACUUAAUCUGGCUUCAUUAUGUCCUCUUUCCUAUGUUUCUAGUUCUCUUUUUAUUGAAUAGCGGGCCAAGCAAGGGUGGGCCCUCUCACCCGAGAGCCCCCUGCCUCCUUUUGACUCCUAGAAGCCCCCUUUUUUGCCCCUUGGGACCCCCUGACACCCCUCUCUUCUCUAGCACUCCCCCCUUUCCACCACUCAGCCCCUACAUGUGAAUCCACACUAUCGUUCACACCCAACACACACCAAUCAGAGAUCUCAGCAGCUCUUCACAACAGCCUCCCUCAAAGUAAGGGGGAAGGGGGGAGCAAGAGAGAGGAAAUAAGUAAACGUGAACCCCGCCCUCUCCGAGUGGCCAUACCAUUCCUGUCGAUGGAUAGAAAAAUAAAAUCUCUCUUCCUCCUCUUCAGUAGGAGUGAGGGUGAAGAGAAUGUGUGGAACGUUCUGCAUCUGUGUCCAUGUCCUACCUUCAGUAGCCACCAGGCCUUGCGUCACUGUGAAGGCCCAUUCUUAUGUGAUGUGAUAACCAUGACGAUGAUGUAUUGCUGUGUCUGAAAUGAUACAACGAUCGUUCCGGUGUUCAGACUAACUGUGAUCUGCUCACAGGAGGUUGGUGGCACCUUAAUUGGGGAGGACGGGCAAGGACAUGGUUUCCAUGUGUCUGAUGCCAUUCCAUUCAUCAUUAUGAGCCGUCCUCCCCUCAGCAGCCUCCUGUGGAUCUGGUGUAUAUCGGUGUAAAAUCCUCCUCGACCAGCUCCCUAAGGCACAUUUGGAGACAUGCUUCAGUCUCUGUACUCAUGCCACGAGUGCUGGGGGGGAGGAGGUGUGUGAACUAGAGGGUCUCCUGCUAAAACCUGUGGCCCAACAUUGAGCAGAGUCAUCCGUCUGUCUCUUCUCCUCCUCUCCCACUUGUCAAUGAACCACUUCCCCACUAGUGAAACUCAGUACCUUAGCGAGGCGGGAUCUAAAUAGAAAGUGCAAUAUGCUCUUAUUGGACGGCUUAACGAGAGCUGUCCACCAAUCACACCAGACUCAGAGUAGACGCUCAGCCUGAGCGGAGGCAAGGAGACAGACAAGGUCCUAAUGGUUCGUCUCAAUACUGUUACACGGCAUCCUUUCUUCUUUCCUCACAUGGAAAGCUCACACAUUGAAGUUGUUUUCAGGAAGACCAUUUAUAAGUGUUGCCAGUCCAAGAUUAGAUUUUUUGACCCUCAAAGUGUUUCCAAGAGCAGUGACCGUAACAGGAGAACGUGUUGAAUAUCAUUGGAACUGUGUAAUAAGUGUUGGGGCGGGGGACACUGAUUUUGGCAUGGCUUAUCAACUUUUUUCAUUUUCUGUUCUUUCCUUUUUUCCCCUCUCUCAGUGGUCAAGGGGGUGAGUGAGGACACCAGAUUUAAAACCACCAACAACCCAAUCAGUGAUGGUCUAUACAUAGAAACCUAUAUACACACACACACACACCUAUACAGUGCACCUCUCCCGCUCCCAUGUCACUCAUGCGUUCCAUUGCUGUUUGAGAGAUGUGAGUUGACCCCCCUUUCUACCAGUGAACUCUUGUCUGUAGUUUGUUGUAUUUUUGAGCCUGUUGGUAAUAAUAGUACAUGGGCUCAUUAGCCUACCCACAAACCCCUGUUUCAGUAUCCAUAUCGUACUCACCUCAUACAAACCUACCCCUCUUCACAACACCCUUGAGUCUUAGCAACAGCCAAUAAAUAAAACUAUUAGCUAUUAUGAAAUGAAUGAUUAAUUAAGAGUACAUUUUAUCACGGACAUAUCUUACGUGUGUAAUGUAUCCUGUGUGGUGCAUCUUAUGAAAUUGUGUUCCACUUGUCUAGACGUUAGUUGAAAUUGUAUGAAUACUGAAUAUUAAAUUACUACAAAUAAGUGACAGUGUGGUGUACAAUGAAACAUAAUAAAAAUAAAGACAAAUAAGUGAAUGUUAUAUGAAAUCCCUGGCUAUGGAUGUGUUGAGUAUUGGCAGGUUGUUUGAUUAGUAGUAUGUAGAAUCAUUUGUCGCUUGUUUCUCGGUCUCUGUCCGGAGAGGAAAUGAGGGGGCAGAGUAAAUGUUUGUAUUCUAUCCUGCUGUAACAACUUCGUCCUGUAUCUUAUCUUACUGCUGUGGGUGGAAUGUGUCUGUCCAACAGGACUGCUUUGUCAAGACAUUAAAAGUCAGCGUACUGUA